UGGGGAAUUUUGGACAAUGGGCGAAAGCCUGAUCCAGCAAUGCCGCGUGUGUGAAGAAGGCCUUCGGGUUGUAAAGCACUUUUGUCCGGAAAGAAAUCCUUGGCUCUAAUACAGUCGGGGGAUGACGGUACCGGAAGAAUAAGCACCGGCUAACUACGUGCCAGCAGCCGCGGUAAUACGUAGGGUGCAAGCGUUAAUCGGAAUUACUGGGCGUAAAGCGUGCGCAGGCGGUUUGCUAAGACCGAUGUGAAAUCCCCGGGCUCAACCUGGGAACUGCAUUGGUGACUGGCAGGCUAGAGUAUGGCAGAGGGGGGUAGAAUUCCACGUGUAGCAGUGAAAUGCGUAGAGAUGUGGAGGAAUACCGAUGGCGAAGGCAGCCCCCUGGGCCAAUACUGACGCUCAUGCACGAAAGCGUGGGGAGCAAACAGGAUUAGAUACCCUGGUAGUCCACGCCCUAAACGAUGUCAACUAGUUGUUGGGGACUUCAUUUUCCUUAGUAACGUAGCUAACGCGUGAGUUGACCGCCUGGGGAGUACGGUCGCAAGAUUAAACUCAAAUG
rnacentral:rRNA from 1 species